rnacentral:rRNA from 1 species
GGCUCAGGACGAACGCUGGCGGCGUGCCUAACACAUGCAAGUCGAACGGACGAGAGGAGCUUGCUCCUCGAGUUAGUGGCGAACGGGGUGAGUAACGCGUGAGCAACCUGCCUUUCAGAGGGGGACAACGGUUGGAAACGACCGCUAAUACCGCAUGAUGCAUUCUGAGCGCAUGAUCGGGAUGCCAAAGAUUUAUCGCUGAAAGAUGGGCUCGCGUCUGAUUAGAUAGUUGGCGGGGUAACGGCCCACCAAGUCGACGAUCAGUAGCCGGACUGAGAGGUUGAACGGCCACAUUGGGACUGAGAUACGGCCCAGACUCCUACGGGAGGCAGCAGGUGGGGAAUAUUGGGGACAAGUGGGGGAAACCCUGACCCAGCAACGCCGCGUGAAGGAAGAAGGCUUUCGGGUUGUAAACUUCUUUACCAGGGACGAAGGACGUGACGGUACCUGGAGAAAAAGCCACGGCUAACUACGUGCCAGCAGCCGC